UACGUAGGGGGCAAGCGUUGUCCGGAAUCAUUGGGCGUAAAGAGCGUGUAGGCGGCUCGAUAAGUCUGCUGUGAAAGUCCAGGGCUCAACCCUGGAAGGCCGGUGGAAACUGUCGGGCUAGAGUCCGGAAGAGGCGAGUGGAAUUCCCGGUGUAGCGGUGAAAUGCGCAGAUAUCGGGAGGAACACCAAUGGCGAAGGCAGCUCGCUGGGGGUGUCCUGACGCUGAGGCGCGAAAGCCAGGGGAGCGAACGGG
rnacentral:rRNA from 1 species